AAUCUUCGUUUGUGUUCUACUGAAGAAACAAAGUCAUCUACAUCUUGAAUGCCCUGGGGUAUGGCUCCCACUCCAGCAUGCCACCUGACCGCAGCUCGUCCACUAUCGGCAUCACCAUUUUUACUCUCUGGACAAGUGUCGCCCAGUGGGCAUCCACAAAUCGAGCACCUGGUGGACGGAUGAUGAAAUGGUAAUUGGUCUCAAUGAACACAGGUUGAAGCAUCUUCAGCUUCUCAGCUGCAAAGUUGAGUUUCAGGUUUCUGAAGUGAGGACAGCAGUCCAGACAGUACAACAAUGCCUAGCAGUCCAUCCUGCUCAGUGGAUCCCGGGACAUGUCUCAGGAAGGACACCCUGUGAGGUGGCCACCAUCCUGGUGCUGUUGCUGUGGCCAAGCAGAACACCAUCAAGCUUCCAGUGUGGUUUUGCUGGAUCUGCUCAGCCACGUUGUCAAAGUGCUGCUCCAGAGGAGCAUGAGGACGGUCCUCCACUGGCACCCAAACGUAUUUCACCCCCUGAUACUCAGGAAAGGGGUAUUCAGCGCAGGCGUUCACCAGCGAAGUGAUGCCUCUGUGCUCCAUGAAUGAAAUAAUUUGAAAUACAUAAAAAAAGUAUAUUUCUCAUCCAAAGCCUUAUAAUUAAAUAAAAAGUUUUAAAAGUACAAAUACUGAAUUAAUCUCAAUUAAUGUGAGCUUAAACAAAUCCAUGUAAUUAUACAAGAAUUAGAAAAGUUACGUUUUUCAACAAGAACAAGAAGGCGCUUUCAAACUGGGGGCCACAAGGGGGUGCUAGGAGACAAAAAGAUUUUUAUGGCUGUCGAAAUUUAUUUGUACACUCAAGAAACUGGCAAAAUAUGUUGGAUAUAAGUAUUUUGUUUAUAUUUACAUUCACCAAACUUGAUAAUAGGUAAUAUAUUUUAUUGUGGCCAGCCUAAGGCACACCUGUGCAAUAAUGCCACACCUGUGAGGUGGAUGGAU